UUAGCCACGCCCCCAUCAACCUGUGAUCCACCCAUAGUCGUCACCCCUCUCUCGCGCCCAAGUUUUCGAGCGGGCUGGCUACUAGCUAUAGCUUCGUUGGGGCUUGUGGCUGUCUGUGCUGUUGUGCCCUGCUGCUGCUGCUGCUGCUGGUCUGGUAGUCGUAUUAGACGCACGCGCGCCCAGGGACCCACCACCUCCGGAAUAAUAAUAAUAUAUGUCCCAGGGAAUCCUCCGGGCCGUUGUGAGGGGCGUCGUCGCCUUUUGAGGAGAAGGGAGAAGAAGAAGAAGAAGAAGAAGCUCUCCUACUCCAUACAGAACCGACCUGCUGCGGAUUUUUCUGAGUUAGUCCCUUUUCCCGAAACGACGAAGAGGAGGAGGAGGCCCCUAUUUUGGUGGUCUUGCGUAUAAUCGAACGCGCGCGCGUGUUUGCGUGCGUGUGUGUGUGUGUGUGUGUGCUAGCCCGCGCGGGAGAUAGAAAGAGAGAGAGUGAAAGAGAGAAAGAGAGAGAGUUAAGAGUUAGAGAGAGAGAGAGAGAGUAUAGUGUCGGGGGAGCUGCUGCGAAGGUGUAUACGUAUACCAACGCCGUCGAAGUCCUCCCUCUCGUCCGCAGCCAGCCAGCCAAGCUAUACAGCAGAAGCAGUUUACAGUCGGCGUCUAUAACAACUUGACAUAGGAUCUUCGUUGACAUACAUACACCAUGAGGGAUGCUUAAAAUCACCAGGACCAUAAUAGGUCCCUCACUACAGCUUCCGCCCCAAUUUGCUCUUUUGGGAGCGAAGGCUGGUGUGGAGAGACGCUCCAACCCUCUCCUAGAGGAGGAAGUGAAACCAAUCUUUAGCGAGAGAGAUGGCCUCCUGGAGCGUGAUGCUGGAAG